rnacentral:rRNA from 1 species
AUUGAACGCUGGCGGCAGGCCUAACACAUGCAAGUCGAACGAGUGGCGGACGGGUGAGUAAUGUCUGGGAAACUGCCCGAUGGAGGGGGAUAACUACUGGAAACGGUAGCUAAUACCGCAUACCAUCGGAUGUGCCCAGAUGGGAUUAGCUUGUAGGUGAGGUAACGGCUCACCUAGGCGACGAUCCCUAGCUGGUCUGAGAGGAUGACCAGCCACACGGGAACUGAUACACGGGCCAGACGCGUACGGUAGGCAGCAGUGGGGAAUAGUGCACAAUGGGCGAAAGCGUGAUGCAGCCAUGCCGGGUGUAUGAAGAAGGCCUUCGGGUUUUAAAGUAAUUUCAGCGGGGAGGCGUUACCCGAAGAAGAAGCACCGGCUAACUCCGUGCCAGCCGCCGCGGUAAUAC